rnacentral:lncRNA from 1 species
AUUGGCUUUCCAUGGCAUAAGGACUCUGGCAUUGCUGCUAAACUCUGCAUUGUAACACAUAAGCAGACACAGAUGAUAUGUAAAUGAGGAGGCGUGACUGUGUCCAUUAAAGCCUGGUAAAGACUAAUUGCUCUCUCUUCUUAACCUUCACUACUAGUCAAAACACAGGGCCCUCAUACAUGCUUCUACGGCAGUCUUAAUCCAUGCUUCAUUCUCCAAGAUUUGCCUCAUACUUCUGCCACGCUUAUGCCAACACAUCAACUGCGCUUUAUGGAGCUUCCAGCUCACUGCAUCUGUGGCCCUCACUUCUCUGCCAGACUCCAUGUCCCGAAGGCUGACCUUGCAGAGUGCACCACCUGGGCUACCUGUUCAGUUCAACCAACAAGAAUUGUCCUCUUCCACUGCCUCAAUGCUAAGGAUCCAACUGUGGCUUCUCCUUUUAUAACAACUCCUGAUAGACUCUUACCAUAACACCAGCUCUCCCUAAGAUCCAAAAACAUGAUUGCCUCCCCUGUUCCUUUAGGCCUAACAGUAAUAUCAUCUUCUUCUUACAGCCAUACGUGGGUGCCGUAGGAUCCCUUGCUGAUGUGAUCCAUUCAUAGUUCUAUAUAAGGUGCCUUCAUUCAAUUCUCAUCAGAGCCUAAUGUGACUGUGCAUUUUCAUCUUGCCAGGCCCCUGAGUGAUAUAACAAAUACUUAUAACAGACGGAAAUGGUGGAGGACAAGGGACCCCACUUCAGAGCCCCUACCAUAGGCCAAGCAGACAGCCAAGUAAUUUUAUGGUUGAUAAUAAAUGUCAAUCACUCUGAAGAAAGGGGUGUGAGGCAGGGUAAGACAAAGCGGGUGUCACAGGAAUUUGAGACAUAGGUUUCAGAUCCUUGCCAUUAGGUACUCCUAUUUCCCCAACUCAGAAUUUGAUAAAAGAAGGAGA